CAUCUUCAAAUUGUGUACGAGUUUCUUCUUAGAUUUGUGGCUUCAACAGAAACUGAUGCCAAGCUUGCAAAGAGAUACAUUGACCAUUCGUUUGUGUUGAAAUUGCUAGAUUUGUUUGGUUCGGAGGACCAAAGGGAAAGGGAGUAUUUGAAGACAAUACUGCAUCGCAUUUAUGGGAAAUUUAUGGUGCAUCGGCCAUUUAUUAGAAAAUCUAUAAACAAUAUCUUUUACCGUUUCAUAUUUGAAACAGAAAGGCAUAAUGGGAUCGCUGAAUUGCUUGAGAUAUUGGGCAGCAUAAUUAACGG
rnacentral:misc_RNA from 1 species